GUACUCAAUUCUGAUUGGCUGACUCGUAGGCGACGGUUCAAUCCAGCCAGCUCGUUAGCUCCAUGUUGCCAAGCAACGGAAGUGGAAUCGAAAUCCAAGAGCUGUGGAGUCCGAAGGAGCUGCUAAACCAUUUGCUAUCUGUGGUGUUGAAACUGAAGUAAGAGCAUUGUGAGAUGGGCACUACAGGCUGAACUGAGAUCACGUGGGAUGAAGAGGUGUUUACAGUUUGGCAGCAAUAUUCUGCAGCAAAGAUAAGUUUGUUCAUUAAUACAUUUCACAAAAGACAACCACUGACAAUUUGGCAC